AAACAGUGAGAAAUGCAUCGCAAAUUUCGUUAAAAUUGGUGACGCCAAUUUCGUAGCUACAAAUGUAAAAAAAUACAAAACAAAGACGAAAAACAUUUACCUUGAAUACUUUGUCGUGGCUUAGGCAUGUUUUUAAAACAAUUAGACCAGUUUAUGCUUCAAUAUUACUCUUUUAAAGCGGAAAAUAUAGCGAAACAACAAAAAUGCCGAGAACUUUGGCAAUACGCGUGACGUCACAAAUUGCAACUAGGUUUGGACUGUGACGUCAGAAAGUUUCCUAUCCAGAUAUUUUACAAUCCAUGAUGUCACUGACUGUGUAUUGUUAGAAAUAAACCAUGGAAAGAGAAACACAGGCCAACAGGGUUUACAUAAACUCUCAAAGCAUAUGAACAAUUUCUAAAAAAAUUAGUCUUACAUAUUUGCCAUAUAAAUAUGUCCCAUAAUAUUAAAUUUUCAUGUCGAACAUUGUACAAUUAUAAUAGUUGAGAAAUAUUGUAUUGUUUUAAAGAUAUAGUAAAGAUUUUCCAAGGCUUUGGCUUAUCGUCGGUUUCCAUCUAUACAUCAUACACGCUUGGCAACUGGUCGCUGAGGAUUUCGUUUUGUCUUAACAGCUCCUGUCACAAAUCACUAUUUUCAGGGAUGUUUUCAUAUUUCCAGUGUGUUUAACCAGCCAAUAUCACGUUCUGUGUGGUCUUAAAUAUCUGUACAGAAGAAAAGCACCACCAGCUACAAACAUGGUACCAACACCAAGCGAUAGAACCAUUGGCAAAGUAAAGAAUUGAGAUUUUUGAUUACACAGAUGGCUAAAAGAAAACAAGAAUUCAAAGUCAACGUUUU
rnacentral:lncRNA from 1 species